rnacentral:rRNA from 1 species
AUUGGACGCUGGCGGCAUGCUUUACACAUGCAAGUCGAACGGUAACAGGCCUUCGGGUGCUGACGAGUGGCGAACGGGUGAGUAAUGCAUCGGAACGUACCCAGAGGUGGGGGAUAACGCAGCGAAAGCUGUGCUAAUACCGCAUGUGAUCUGAGGAUGAAAGCGGGGGACCGAGCAGCAAUGUUUGGCCUCGCGCCUUUGGAGCGGCCGAUGUCGGAUUAGCUAGUUGGUGGGGUAAAGGCCUACCAAGGCGACGAUCCGUAGCUGGUCUGAGAGGACGACCAGCCACACUGGGACUGAGACACGGCCCAGACUCCUACGGGAGGCGGCAGUGGGGAAUUUUGGACAAUGGGCGCAAGCCUGAUCCAGCAAUGCCGCGUGCGGGAAGAAGGCCUUCGGGUUGUAAACCGCUUUUGGCAGGAACGAAACGGUGUCCGCUAAUACCGGGCGCUAAUGACGGUACCUGCAGAAUAAGCACCGGCUAACUACGUG